rnacentral:rRNA from 1 species
CUCCUACGGGAGGCAGCAGUGAGGAAUAUUGGUCAAUGGACGCGAGUCUGAACCAGCCAAGUAGCGUGCAGGACGACGGCCCUAUGGGUUGUAAACUGCUUUUGCGCGGGGAUAACACCCUUCCACGUGCUGGAGGUCUGCAGGUACCGCGCGAAUAAGGACCGGCUAAUCCCGUGCCAGCAGCCGCGGUAAUACGGAAGGUCCGGGCGUUAUCCGGAUUUAUUGGGUUUAAAGGGAGCGUAGGCCGUGAGGUAAGCGUGUUGUGAAAUGUAGGCGCCCAACGUCUGCACUGCAGCGCGAACUGCCCCACUUGAGUGCGCGCAACGCCGGCGGAACUCGUCGUGUAGCGGUGAAAUGCUUAGAUAUGACGAAGAACCCCGAUUGCGAAGGCAGCUGGCGGGAGCGUAACUGACGCUGAAGCUCGAAAGCGCGGGUAUCGANCAGGAUUAGAUACCCUGGUAGUCCGCGCUGGUAAACGAUGGACUGCCC